GGGUUGUAAACUUCUUUUAUACGGGGAUAAAGUGAGGCACGCGUGCUUUUUGUAUGUACCGUAUGAAUAAGGAUCGGCUAACUCCGUGCCAGCAGCCGCGGUAAUACGGAGGAUCCGAGCGUUAUCCGGAUUUAUUGGGUUUAAAGGGAGCGUAGGCGGACGCUUAAGUCAGUUGUGAAAGUUUGCGGCUCAACCGUAAAAUUGCAGUUGAUACUGGGUGUCUUGAGUACAGUAGAGGCAGGCGGAAUUCGUGGUGUAGCGGUGAAAUGCUUAGAUAUCACGAAGAACUCCGAUUGCGAAGGCAGCUUGCUGGACUGUAACUGACGCUGAUGCUCGAAAGUGUGGGUAUCAAACAGGAUUAGAUACCCUGGUAGUCCACACAGUAAA
rnacentral:rRNA from 1 species